UUCUUCAGAAGUCACCCAAUCUUGAAACUUUCAUAAUUCAGGUUAAGGGGCCUCAAGAUAAAUGGCAAUUAAAUUCCUUUUGUGUGAAGAGCCCACAAGAUAAACAAGAAUAUGCAGAAGCUUACAAGCAUGCAUGGGGUCGCUGAAGUAAAGCUUCCUGCCUGAUUCAUACUGUCAUACAUAUGUAUUUUGAUUUGAUAUGGUAUUUAGCUUAAUUUUUCUAAGUUUAAAAUGAUUUAUUUUGAUUCAUGGUUUCAUGAGUUAAUUUGAUG